UUCAUUGCGCUCCUUCUCCCUUCAGGGCAGGCAGGAGCAGGGAGGCAUGGAGGAGGGUGCGCUUAUCCAGUGGCUGGAGUAGGCCAGGGGUUUGCCCCCUGCUCUGACAGUUUCUCUGGAGUGCUGGUGUGCCACCUGGAAGCAUUCACAUUCGGUCACUUUAUUAUCCAGGGUUGCCCUGGGAGUUUGGCAGGAGAGAGGGAGCAAAAUGGGAGAGUGAGGGAAGCAUAUCACUGGAGAGGGAAGUAGAGAUGUGAUAUGAUCUGCAGAACACCGUGCUCUGUCCUCAGUGCCCCCUCCCCAGAGGCUCCAACCCCUUCUGAGAACACAAUGAUCAGCCUCCUGUUCCUCACUGGCUUCUUCUUUGGACCUGGAUUUCCACAGCAGACCUGGAGGCCAUGCUCGGGGACCAGUUCUACAAGGAAGCCAUUGAGCACUGCCGGAGUUACAACUCACGGCUGUGUGCAGAGCGCAGCGUGCGUCUUCCCUUCCUGGACUCACAGACUGGGGUGGCCCAGAACAACUGCUACAUCUGGAUGGAGAAGAGGCA
rnacentral:lncRNA from 1 species